rnacentral:rRNA from 1 species
AACGCGAAGAACCUUACCAAGGUUUGACAUGGACGGAAAUCUCGCAGAGAUGCGGGGUCCUUCGGGGCCGUUCACAGGUGGUGCAUGGCUGUCGUCAGCUCGUGUCGUGAGAUGUUGGGUUAAGUCCCGCAACGAGCGCAACCCUCGUCCUAUGUUGCCAGCGGGUAAUGCCGGGGACUCAUGGGAGACUGCCGGGGUCAACUCGGAGGAAGGUGGGGAUGACGUCAAGUCAUCAUGCCCCUUAUGUCUUGGGCUGCAAACAUGCUACAAUGGCCGGUACAAAGGGCUGCGAACCCGUGAGGGUAAGCGAAUCCCGGAAAGCCGGUCUCAGUUCGGAUCGGGGUCUGCAACUCGGCCCCGUGAAGCCGGAGUCGCUAGUAAUCGCGGAUCAGCAACGCCGCGGUGAAUACGUUCCCGGGCCUUGUA